UACGUAGGGGGCAAGCGUUGUCCGGAAUUAUUGGGCGUAAAGAGCUCGUAGGCGGUCUGUUACGUCUGCUGUGAAAACCCUGGGCUUAACCCUGGGCUUGCAGUGGAUACGGGCAGACUAGAGGCAGGUAAGGGAGAAUGGAAUUCCCGGUGUAGCGGUGAAAUGCGCAGAUAUCGGGAGGAACACCGGUGGCGAAGGCGGUUCUCUGGGCAGUAACUGACGCUGAGGAGCGAAAGCGUGGGGAGCGAACAGG
rnacentral:rRNA from 1 species